GCAGGCUCGCGCUUGAAUACAUUAGCAUGGAAUAAUGAAAUAGGACGUCCGAUUCUAUUUUGUUGGUUUCUAGGAUCGAUGUAAUGAUUAAUAGGGAUAGUUGGGGGCAUUAGUAUUCAAUUGUCAGAGGUGAAAUUCUUGGAUUUAUUGAAGACUAACUACUGCGAAAGCAUUUGCCAAGGAUGUUUUCAUUAAUCAAGAACGAAAGUUAGGGGAUCGAAGACGAUCAGAUACCGUCGUAGUCUUAACCAUAAACUAUGCCGACUAGGGAUCGGAUGAUGUUAAUUUUUUAAUGACUCAUUCGGCGCCUUACGGGAAACCAAAGUGUUUGGGUUCCGGGGGGAGUAUGGUCGCAAGGCUGAAACUUAAAGGAAUUGACGGAAGGGCACCACCAGGGGUGGAGCCUGCG
rnacentral:rRNA from 1 species